UCCCAGACUUGCAGGUUUGGGUUAGGAAGAUCAAACCAUUAGGGAAAUAGAGAAAAUGUCCUAGUCUGAACAUCCAAAUAGCGUCCCCAAUGUUUGCAGAACAACAGCUAAGGCCCUGCGGGGCAGCUUACAGGUGAGAAUGGGUAGGUUUCAGCUGGUAAGGGGAGACCAGCUGUUCCCCAUAUCUGUUCAUGGCUUUCAGCUGCAACCAGUGCAGUGAGUGGGCAGUGUGGGAGGCUGAGCUGUGAGCAGAGGCUUCAUGUGCGUGCCAGGAGAGGAAAAGAAAACAACACCUGGGAACAAAGUGAUCGGUGGUGGAGGGAUUUUUCUCUCCUGGGAAAAGACUGCAUGAUAGCAGGCAGUGGCUUUCACUGAA